GGUCAGGAUGAACGCUGGCGGCGUGCUUAAUACAUGCAAGUCGAACGGGAUAAAUUGGGAGCUUGCUCUUGAUUAUUAGUGGCGGACGGGUGAGUAACGCGUGGGUAACCUGCCUCAUACAGGGGGAUAACAGUUAGAAAUGACUGCUAAAACCGCAUAACAUCAUAUUACCGCAUGAUAGUAUGAUCAAAUAUUUAUAGGUAUGAGAUGGGCCCGCGUCUGAUUAGCUAGUUGGUGAGAUAACAGCCCACCAAGGCGACGAUCAGUAGCCGUACUGAGAGGUAGAACGGCCACAUUGGGACUGAGACACGGCCCAAACUCCUACGGGAGGCAGCAGUAGGGAAUAUUGGACAAUGGGGGGAACCCUGAUCCAAGCGACGCCGCGUGAGUGAAGAAGUUAUUCGUAAUGUAAAGCUCUAUCAGCAGGGACGAUAAUGACGGUACCUGACUAAGAAGCACCGGCUAAAUACGUGCCAGCCGCCGC
rnacentral:rRNA from 1 species